UACGGGGGGGGCAAGCGUUGUUCGGAAUUACUGGGCGUAAAGGGCUCGUAGGUGGCCAACUAAGUCAGACGUGAAAUCCCUCGGCUUAACCGGGGAACUGCGUCUGAUACUGGAUGGCUUGAGUUCGGGAGAGGGAUGCGGAAUUCCAGGUGUAGCGGUGAAAUGCGUAGAUAUCUGGAGGAACACCGGUGGCGAAGGCGGCAUCCUGGACCGACACUGACGCUGAGGAGCGAAAGCCAGGGGAGCAAACUGG
rnacentral:rRNA from 1 species